UCAUUGUCACUAAUCAAGCCCGGCUUGCUGUUGGACCUCUUGUCGUUAAAAGACAGGCCCUAAAGAUAAUGACGGUGUUAUUAGAACCCUAGAUGCAAUGAGCUUUAACUAGCACGCAUGAUAGUGGCCUUUUAACCCGGUCUUUUUUAACUAAUUUUAAGGUUGACCUCGGAUCAGGUAGGAAUACCCGCUGAACUUAA
rnacentral:misc_RNA from 1 species